AUUAAAUCGGUGACAGGGGCACGGGUAGGAGCCGUAGGACUAUUUCCGCAGGGUUAGCAAACUCCCUCAAACUUUGACAACAGCGAAAGUGCGAAUCACUAAAAUGUUGUCAUCCUCAACCUCAAGGAUCACUUUCAUUUUUAGGUAUUCUCUUCUCCAAAUCCCUAAUUUUGUUUCCUUCCCUUCCUCUUCAUCCCUUCACUCUCAUUCUGAGCCCCCAUCCUUUCGCCAAGUUGAUGAAGCUGUUCAUUCCUUCACUCGCAUGCUCUCUAUGCGUCGUACUCCUCCCAUCAUCCAAUUUAACAAGAUUUUGGGAUCCCUUUCCAAGACGAAGCAUUUCCACGCCGCCGUUUCCCUUUUUCAGCAAUUGCAAGUCAGGGGAAUCGCCCCCAGCAUAGUUACUUUGAACAUCUUAAUCAAUUGUUGUUGCGCCAUGAGUCAUAUGAAGCUUGCUUUCUCUGCUUUCGCUAAGAUUUUCAGGAUGGGUUUUCAGCCUGAUACCGUAACCUUGACAACAAUCCUGAAAGGCCUCUGUCUCUGUGGUAAUAUUGAAAAAGCACUGCACUUUCAUGCCACAAUGUUGGCUUAUGGAUUUCACUUCGACCAAGUCACUUAUGGGACCUUGAUCAAUGGGCUUUGUAAGACCGGACACACAUCAGCUGCUAUUCAAGUGUUGAGAAAGAUCCCACGGUAUGGCAUUGCUCCUGACGUCUUCAUGUACAGCGCAAUUAUUGAUAGCCUCUGCAAGGUUACACUUGUAAGUGAGGCUUUUUAUUUAUACUCUGAAAUGCUUGCUAGGGGAAUUUCUCCAGAUGUUAUCACAUACAGUUCUCUCAUUUUUGGAUUGUGUCUUGAAGGUCAAUAUAAGGAAGCCAUUGAUUUGUUAAGUGAUAUGGUGCUUAGAAACCUUACUCCUGAUGUUAGUACCUAUAGUAUUUUGAUCGAUGGGCUAUGCAAGGAAGGAAAGAUCAAAGAUGCAAAAAAUGUGUUGGCUGUGAUGACAAAACAUGGUGUGAAACCAAAUGUGGUUACUUAUAACAGCUUAAUGGACGGAUAUUGUUUGGUUAAUCAGGUAAAUAAGGCAAAAUAUGUAUUCAACACAAUGGCCCAAAGUAGAGUGUUACUUAAUGUUCAAAGUUACAAUAUCAUGAUUAAUGGCUUGUGCAAAAGUAAAAUGGUUGAUGAAGCCUUGAGUCUCUUUGAAAAAAUGCGUAGUAAGUACUUGGAUCCAAACACGGUAACUUACAACACUCUUAUUGAUGGCUUGAGCAAAUCAAAGAGAAUCUCUUGUGCUUUGGAGCUUCUUGUCAAGAUGCACAAGAGAGGUCCACCCGCUAAUGUAGUCACUUACAAUUCCUUGUUGGAUGGGAUGUUCAAUAUCAAACAAGUUGACAAGGCACUUAUGUUAUUCAAGCAAAUGAAAGAGAGUGGCAUUGAUCCAGAUAUAUGCACGUACAAUAUACUUAUUGAUGGCCUAUGCAAAGGUGGAAGACUUGUAGUUGCAAAAGAGAUCUUUCAAGAUCUUUCUGUGAAAGGCUAUCCUCCAGAUGUGAGGACAUACAAUAUUAUGAUCAAUGGGCUCUGUAGAGAGGGCUUGUUUAAAGAAGCAUUGGCCCUGCUGUCGGAAAUGGAACACAAUGGUUGCUUACCAAAUGCUGUGACUUUUGAAACUGUUAUUCGUGCUUUGUUUGAAAAAGAUGAGAAUGACAUGGCGGAGAAACUUCUUCGGGAAAUGGUUGCUAGAGGCUUAUUGAAUUGAUAAAAGAAGUCGAGCAAGCACGCUUGGAACUCUGAUUCACUCCUUCUGGCUCGUUCAAGGACACAAGCCUCAUCGAACUCUUCACCGUCAAACAUGAAUCUGUUGCGAGCCUUCCAUAUCUCCCACAUCAGGGACUCCAAUUCCGGAUCUGAGCCAAGUGGACCAUGACUGACCACAGCUAAUUAUGCAGUGUUGGACUGUUUCUUCCAUCGUGGUACAUCUUCGACAGGUUGGGGGUAUUGUUCUGAUUCUUCCAUGGAGUUGUUGGUUCACCGGCAAUCCCUUGUGCAUUACUUUCCAGAGGAAGAUUCUUAUUUUCGGUUGCACUUUCAGGUCCCAAAUAGAAGUCCAGAGCUUCUUCUGCUGGCAGUGGAGUGGCAUCAGAUCGAGUGGAGGGUGGCAGAACUAGUGCGCCAGUAAAUAUCCUGAAGCCACGGUGUAGCAACCCUUUUUCUCCCUUGGCCAGGUAACUGAAUCAUCCCGUUCCCCAAUUUCAGUUUGUAAAAUAUUCUGUGCAAUAUCUGUACUGAAUUGUUCUGCAAUGAGCUGUUGGUUCCAUUGCUUGUUUUCGUUUAGGAGUUGAUUAACCCAAAUUAGUUGUGAGUUAGUAGGAAUUAACAUCUGAGUAGAUAAUGCUUGUUGAUUUUUGAUCGAAGAGUCCUCCAUUUACAUAUGGAUAAAUACCAAUCUACCAUGUUAUAUGUAUAAAUUUAACUGGCUACACAUUAAUCCAAACUAUGUUGAAGCUCUCUAGUGUGAAUUUUCCUUUAUACUUUGAUUUGUAUUUGGCCCCUUUGGAAUCAAUUGUGAGACACUAGAGUUCUUCUCAACUAAUUUGGUUUCUAGUUGAACCCAUACUAACUAGAUUUUAAACUUCAAAAAUCACUUUUCUCAUGAAACUCAAACAAAAAUCACUUCAUCUCAAAUGGAUGAAAUAUUGCUGUUGCUAUAAACUUUGCAAAGCCAAUCUUUGCAUUAUAAUUUGGUUCUUUAUUUAUAUACUUCCAUUCUAACUUUGUGUGGUGCGUGCUGCAUAAAACAGUUUUAGACUUAAGCAAACAGUACUCCAAAUAAACAUUUGAUACUGCAAAGGGAAUAAUCUUGCUUUAUGGUGAGAGUAUAUGAUAUACAAUGUGUUUUGGAUAUUGCAAGUUCAUCAAGAACAAGAUGGCUCUGUCAUCAAGAGUUGUUUGAGACUCUACAGAAAGGGAAAAUUUUAAUAUAGUUAACCAAUUCUUUGUUCAUUUUCACUGACAUACAAAAUGGGAGC